rnacentral:tRNA from 1 species
GGGCGUAUAGCUCAGUUGGCUAGAGCGCGUCUCUGAUAAAGACGAGGUCCUUGGUUCGAGUCCAAGUACGCCCACCA